rnacentral:rRNA from 1 species
GGGUUGUGAGGUUAAGCGACUAAGCGUACACGGUGGAUGCCCUGGCAGUCAGAGGCGAUGAAGGGCGUGCUAAUCUGCGAUAAGCGCCGGUAAGGUGAUAUGAACCGUUAUAACCGGCGAUACCCGAAUGGGGAAACCCAGUGUGAUUCGUCACACUAUCAUUAACUGAAUCCAUAGGUUAAUGAGGCGAACCGGGGGAACUGAAACAUCUAAGUACCCCGAGGAAAAGAAAUCAACCGAGAUUCCCCCAGUAGCGGCGAGCGAACGGGGAGGAGCCCAGAGCCUGAAUCAGCAUGUGUGUUAGUGGAAGCGUCUGGAAAGGCGCGCGAUACAGGGUGACAGCCCCGUACACAAAAGCGCAUGUGCUGUGAGCUCGAUGAGUAGGGCGGGACACGUGGUAUCCUGUCUGAAUAUGGGGGGACCAUCCUCCAAGGCUAAAUACUCCUGACUGACCGAUAGUGAACCAGUACCGUGAGGGAAAGGCGAAAAGAACCCCGGCGAGGGGAGUGAAAAAGAACCUGAAACCGUGUACGUACAAGCAGUGGGAGCACAGGUUUACCUGUGUGACUGCGUACCUUUUGUAUAAUGGGUCAGCGACUUAUAUUCUGUAGCAAGGUUAACCGAAUAGGGGAGCCGGAGGGAAACCGAGUCUUAACCGGGCGUUAAGUUGCAGGGUAUAGACCCGAAACCCGGUGAUCUAGCCAUGGGCAGGUUGAAGGUUGGGUAACACUAACUGGAGGACCGAACCGACUAAUGUUGAAAAAUUAGCGGAUGACCUGUGGCUGGGGGUGAAAGGCCAAUCAAACCGGGAGAUAGCUGGUUCUCCCCGAAAGCUAUUUAGGUAGCGCCUCGUGAAUUCAUCUCCGGGGGUAGAGCACUGUUUCGGCUAGGGGGCCAUCCCGGCUUACCAACCCGAUGCAAACUGCGAAUACCGGAGAAUGUUAUCACGGGAGACACACGGCGGGUGCUAACGUCCGUCGUGAAGAGGGAAACAACCCAGACCGCCAGCUAAGGUCCCAAAGUCAUGGUUAAGUGGGAAACGAUGUGGGAAGGCCCAGACAGCCAGGAUGUUGGCUUAGAAGCAGCCAUCAUUUAAAGAAAGCGUAAUAGCUCACUGGUCGAGUCGGCCUGCGCGGAAGAUGUAACGGGGCUAAACCAUGCACCGAAGCUGCGGCAGCGACGCUUAUGCGUUGUUGGGUA